UGCGGUUUAUAGGCUCUGCACACUGAGCCCAUCCCGGGGGAAUGGUGGGAUUUUUUGACAGAUGUGAAACUCCGAUUCACACUGCCACCAUCCACCAUCCGUCAAAAACAGCUGAUGCCAAUAACAAGUUCAUUAAAUUUGCGCGGAAGAUUUAUUAAUUCUUGGUUCUUAUAAUGGAUGAUGAAGAUAUAGCAAUUAUUUCGGCUGUGGUUCAACAGCAAAAUAUUUUCUUGCACCAACUAAUAAUGUUGCUGUCAAUGAAUAAUGAUGAUGACGAUGAUGACUUCAACAUUGACGAGGAUGAGAUGACCCAGAUGACUGCCAUAAAAACACAAAAGCCAGGAAGAUUAUAGUCGUUUAAGCGGUUCGGGACAUUUUGGAGAAAGAUGUACCAGAAAACAACGAGGCGUUUUUCAAAGAGAGUUUCCGAAUGGAGAGGCCCUGCUUUGAUAUUUUAGUGAAUCGGCUUGAAGUGCUGCGAAAGAAGGACACCAACUGCCGAGCUGCAAUUCCUUUGGAAAAGCGCAUCGCCAUUGCGCUAUACACUUUGGGCUCGUCCUCUGAGUACCGAACAGUUGGCAGGCUUUUCGGUGUAGCGCCAAACAGUGUGUGUAAUAUCCUGCACGAGUUUUGCAGAGCACUUAUACGUAUGCAAAUAUCUUGCACAAAAAUAUGUAUUUAGCAAGUUGGUUUAAUGUCCUAAAUUAUUUAAAUCCGAUUCUUUUUAGAUACAGAUUUACAUAUGUAAAUAUCGGCUCUGCAGGAAGGUGCAAUGACUCGAUGAUAUACCAGAAGUCAAGCCUUGCAAAACAUAUCGAAGCAUCGGCAAUACUCCAAGAGAAAGCCAAGGAAAUAAGCGGAGUAAACGUCCCUGUAAUGCUUAUCGGGGGGGGACUCGGCAUUUAGGUUUUCUAAAAAGCUGAUGAAACCUUCCCCGUUUUCCACAUUCGCCUCUUUGGAAUAGCGCACGUUUAACUACAACCUUUCCAAAGCUAGGCCAGUGGUGGAAAAUGCAUUUGGGCAUUUAAAAGCCAGAUUUCGAAUAUUCGGAAAAGGUCUUGAUAGCCACCACAAAAAUAAUAGCGCCAUAAUAAUGAGCUGUUGUAUUUUACACAAUAUAUUAAAUAUGCACAACAGCGCGAUUAAUGAAAAUUGGGAGCUUGCAACAAAUGAGCAGCGCGAACAGCCCGAUACCAGCAACAGUUCUGCUGACUUUAAUCAGUCAGCAGAACAGAUACGAUCUGCAAUCGCAAAAUAUUGUGUAGACCGUAAUGAAAAUUAAAAACUUAUUUAUUUUUAUUUUUUAAAACUUCUAAUAAGUCGUUCUGGAAUUUUGUUUGGGUGCUGAUCAAGUCCUGCACCAUCUUCUCCUGCCUAACGUCGUGCUCCUCCUUCUUUCUGUGGUGGUCCUUUUGUUGUUCGAGACGCUCCUGGGCGAUCUCUGCCAGCCACGAAAUUUCGGUCUUUUUCUUUUUCUUUGGCGGACGCCCAGACAAGGUGCUGGAGCUACAAGAU